rnacentral:rRNA from 1 species
UACGUAGGUGGCAAGCGUUGUCCGGAAUUACUGGGCGUAAAGGGCUCGUAGGCGGCCAACUAAGUCAUACGUGAAAUCCCUCAGCUUAACCGGGGAACUGCGUCUGAUACUGGAUGGCUUGAGAUUGGGAGAGGGAUGCGGAAUUCCAGGUGUAGCGGUGAAAUGCGUAGAUAUCUGGAGGAACACCGGUGGCGAAGGCGGCAUCCUGGACCAACACUGACGCUGAGGAGCGAAAGCCAGGGGAGCAAACGGG